GUCAUGCUGGGGGCCCGUGAUCACCGAGGAGAGGGGCUUUCAAUUCCCGAGAUUUACUUGCUCUUCCUCAGCGUGGAAAAUCCAUAACCGGUGGACGUAAAAUGAAGAAAAAUAAGGAAAAGAGACCCACCGACAGACACCAUCUAAAAUUGCCUUUUAUGUUCUGAAGAUAAAAUGAUGCAGGCCACAUUGGAGGUCGGAGCUGACAACGCUGAUCGGGUGGAGCAGCCUCCUUGGUACACAGAGAUUAGCACGAGCCACUGCUGAGUGCUUCUGUUGGAGAAUUUCAAGUUUCUUCCAGAACCCCUCCAUCACACAGGUUGCGUUUUUCACCACACCACUGCGUCUAAAGACAUGAAAUGAAAGUAUUCAUCUAUAAGGACAAAGAAAGGCAGAGGACCAACAGCAAGUGAGAGAUGGCAAU